rnacentral:rRNA from 1 species
UACGAAGGGGGCUAGCGUUGUUCGGAAUCACUGGGCGUAAAGCGCAUGCAGGCGGAUCGUUAAGUCGGGGGUGAAAGCCCGAGGCUCAACCUCGGAACUGCCUUCGAUACUGGCGAUCUUGAGUCCGGGAGAGGUGAGUGGAACUGCGAGUGUAGAGGUGAAAUUCGUAGAUAUUCGCAAGAACACCAGUGGCGAAGGCGGCUCACUGGCCCGGUACUGACGCUGAGAUGCGAAAGCGUGGGGAGCAAACAGG